AACCACAGCCAUAUCACCCUGCAGCCCAAGACUGGUUGCCCACUGAAGCUAAGCAGGGUUGAGCCUGGUCAGUAUCUGGAUGGGAGACCUCCUGGGAAAACUAGGUUGCUGUUGGAA
rnacentral:rRNA from 1 species